rnacentral:rRNA from 1 species
UACGGUAGGGACCAAGCGUUGUCCGGAAUCAUUGGGCGUAAAGAGCGUGUAGGCGGCUUGUUAAGUCUUGCGUGAAAUCUCGGGGCUCAACCCCGAGCGGUCGUGAGAAACUGGCAGGCUAGAGUGCGGGGAGAGGAGAGUGGAAUUCCUGGUGUAGCGGUGAAAUGCGCAGAUAUCAGGAAGAACACCCGUGGCGAAGGCGGCUCUCGUGGAACGCAACUGACGCUGAGACGCGAAAGCGUGGGGAGCAAACAGG